GCGACGAAAAAGGCGGCAUCGCAUUUAUAUCUACUCCUUUACUCUAUGCAUUAGUAAUAGUUGUGGUACAAUGUAAUAUUACUAGGACAUGUCAAUAUGCUGGUCCAACUCACUGUCCUCCAUUAAUACACUCUCUUUGAUCUCCUGUAACAUUUUCAACACCUGCCACAUAGUGGGCCUCUGCUCCGGCGAGGUCAAGCUACAAGCUAUAGCUACUUCAAGAAGCAUCUCCAGCCUAUUGUCUUCUCCGCCAUCAUCAUCCCUCGUGGACCUAACCCAAUUCACCAUUUCAUUCGGCGCUAAAAAAGGGAGCUGGGAUGGAGGCUUCCCUGUUAAAAGCUCAAGCAACAGAACUCCAAAUGAAAACACAUCAGAUUUAGAGGUCGGUUGGUGAUUUGAAUUGCAAAUUUCUGGAGCUUUGUACGCCGUGGCCGCCGGGUC
rnacentral:misc_RNA from 1 species